CCUAGCGGCGGACGGGUGAGUAAUACUUAGGAAUCUGCCUAUUAGUGGGGGACAACAUUUCGAAAGGAAUGCUAAUACCGCAUACGUCCUACGGGAGAAAGCAGGGGAUCACUUGUGACCUUGCGCUAAUAGAUGAGCCUAAGUCGGAUUAGCUAGUUGGUGGGGUAAAGGCCUACCAAGGCGACGAUCUGUAGCGGGUCUGAGAGGAUGAUCCGCCACACUGGGACUGAGACACGGCCCAG
rnacentral:rRNA from 1 species